CAGAAGAUUCUUCUUAAGCAAUACUUCUCAACCUUGGAGAGCUUUGAAAAUGCCUUGCCCCUGGGCCUCCCCCGAGACAGGAGGCCGGGGACUCGGCAUUUUCUAAAGCUCCUAGUUAAUUUGCAUGGGCAGCAGGCCUAAGAGCUGUGCCUGGAAAGAUUAGGGCCCAACACGGAAGAGUGAGUGGACCUUUGGAACGCAGUCAAGCCUUUACUGUACUAGAAUCCGUAGGAUGGUGCCCGACGCGCUGACGGCGAGCUGUGCCGAUGAGAAAAUGGAUGCAUGGGAACUCCUCUUGGCAGGCAGGAGAAUGGGGAGCGGAACAGGGCAUCACCCAGAAUCAGCCCCCAACAAAGUCUCGGAGCAGAAAACCAGGGGUACAGAGCCUGGGUUUCCGCGUUGGCGACGACUGCUUGUGGACGCUCCAAGUGUGUGAGGCCCCUCUUGCUGGCUGGCCUUCCCCAAGAAGGACCACGCUGAAAUGUCCUUCUGGAACUUUCUGAGUCCUCCCCCUGGCCCCGAACCAGCUUCCCCUUCAUCCUCCACGACUCUUCUCCCGCUGCCUGGUGACAGCGUGGGGCCCUGGGAAGGUCACCAACUCUGCAGACAGACACAUGGACUCGAGGCCCAGAGCCAGCACUUAACGAGUGAUCUUGGGCAAGGCGUCCCCUCUCUGAGCUUGCUCAGUCUCCUCAUCGUAAAAUGCAGAAUUUAGGUUUAAACCCGCCAGUGGGACUGCUCUCUCCCCUGACCACUUACCUCACCCGUGUCCUGGCCCCCCUUCCCGAGGAGCAUCGUCUGCCUGAUUCACGCCACCACUCCCACCCACACUGAGAACCCCCUGACGAUAAGAUCUGUGGCAUCUCUUCACCCCGAGGACAGUGUGGAGCCCCAGAAAAAGCAGGUGUUUGGCACCCAGUUCUCUCGGCAAGACUACAAGCAUGCAUGCAGUGGGACCUCAGUGAGCCACGGCUGGCUGCGUGGACGGUGCUCCCUGCUCGUCAGCUGAGCCAGCUGGUGCAGAUUGCCCUGACCUGUGGGGUACGUGAAUUCCGAGAGCCGGCCUGGCCCCUGCGCACUCCCUUCUCGAAGUCUCCCCCGACCUCAUUAAACAAUGGGCUCCUCUGUGCUUCCGGCCAACGUGGCUCCACCACCGUCCUUAGCUGUGGCGUCUUAGUUCUCGUUCAUGGGAUGGUUGCAGAGCACCGGGAACGUGCCAGGCCCUGCCCGAGAUGUGAGAAGGAGACUAAGACUCAGGCCCCUGCCUUAAGGAACCCCUGGUUCAAGGAGGCGACAGGAACAGACCCCACGUGACCUCACAUCCCCGCUGGCUUUGCAGUUCAAGCACUUUGAGCAGUUUCUCCAGUCACAUCGUCCCUCAGCGCCAUUGGAACCUGGAGCCUGAUGCUCACUUGCUGACCGAGGUUUCCACUGAGCAGCAGGACCGAGGACCAGGUCUGGCUGGGAGUCAUCACAGCCAGGAAUUGAAGACAGGAGACGGGCUGAGGAGAGGCCCGACCACCGAGAGCAUCGUUCAGAGAAAGGGGCGGGCUGAGGUCAGGGGACCCCCACAGCCUCUCCCUGGCAGCUGGGGGCAGAGGCAGAGCUCACGGCUCUACUCCCUGGGUGAGGAAAGCCCGAGGGACCUGGAGUCACCCACCAGCCAGCCUCCAGCCAUCUGUCUCCUGGGGAACAGGAGCCUGCGGCAGCAGCUGCCUUGGCUCGUUGUCCACCAGAUCCAUUCUAGCUCCCUCUCGAGCUGUAGAAUUGAAGGUGGGCGCCUAGCGGCUCAGCCAGACUAUACUUCCCGGCCUUCUUUGCGGUUAAGUCACGUUCUCGCCAGCGGGAUGGCAGCAGAAGUGAAGUGUGGUCCAUCUGACACGGAGCCUUUCAGACCACGCCUCACCUCCUCCUUGACCUCUUUUCCCUCCCCGCUGUCUACACCCAGCACAGGGCUGAAACCCAGCUUCGUCCAGGAAGGUGUUUACAACGCCCCAGGACUGGUGGAGAAACAUGACAGAGGGGAUCGGUCUGAGUCUCCAAGCGACCAAGUGAGGAGAUCCAUGCACCCAAAGCGACUACAAAACAGACACGGAAAUUUCUUUGUCCUUUAUGGUACGGGAUGUUGGGGGGAGAUGGAUGGCAGAGAGUCUCUUUGUUACAGCAGCUUAGCUUCCCCCAGCUACCACAAAGACCCGCCAAUAGAUACGACAGAAGAGAAUAAGAUGCCAGGAGGUCGCUUUUGAAUCCAGGACCACUGGUUUCCCUUCUAGAAACAGUUAACAUCUCCUGUUGUCAGUUCACAUUCAGUACUUUUCACCGAACCUCCACCAUACGUCCCGCAUGAGAGAAGGGCUAGGGAUACAA
ensembl:lncRNA